rnacentral:lncRNA from 1 species
AAAAUCACAUCACAGUUCAGUCAAUCCUGCAAUUAACACACAACGAGGUACAAAAAAAAAAUUAAAAACUUCACAUACAAAACCCUAAACACACAAAAAAAAUGUACACAAACAAACAGUGAUUCCAGCAUCUCAACAAAACCAACUAGUUAACCCUAGCUACAAAUUCAUCGACUGCAAUACGAAACCCUAGCUACAAACAGUCAUGUGUAACCCUAGCUACAAAUUCAUCGACUGCAAUACGAAACCCUAGCUACAAAUUGAAUUUCACAGUAACAACAAACAGUCAUGUGUAAUCAUAAAAAACUGUUAAACAUCAAUUCCAUUGGAUUUCGUUCAGGUUACGCAAUCAAACCACAAAACAGGUAAAGAUAUUAUAGUUUCAUCCGUUAUUUAAAACCGAAAACACCGUAAAACAUCAAGAAAAAUGACUAAUUCACAACAAAAUACGCAACAAAUCUCUUCGGAAACUGAAUUGAGUGUUGAAAUUGAAACACGAAGGAUGACUGAGGGCUGAAUUUGGUUCGUGUGCGUAUGAACGAGAGUUUGUCUAUGUAGAAAGUAAAAAGGUGUGUAGGUUGAUUAUACCUGGAAGAGUGAAGAAUCUGUGGAAGGUGUUUGUUUAUGUUUUGAU